AUUCCAGCUCCAAUAGCGUAUAUUAAAGUUGUUGCGGUUAAAAAGCUCGUAGUUGGAUUUCUGCCGAGGACGACCGGUCCGCCCACUGGGUGUGCAUCUGGCUCGGCCUGGGCAUCUUCUUGGAGAACGUAUCUGCACUUCACUGUGUGGUGCGGUAUCCAGGACUUUUACUUUGAGGAAAUUAGAGUGUUUCAAGCAGGCACACGCCUUGAAUACGUUAGCAUGGAAUAAUAAGAUAGGACCUUGGUUCUAUUUUGUUGGUUUCUGGAACUGAGGUAAUGAUUAAUAGGGACAGUUGGGGGCAUUCAUACUCCAUUGUCAGAGGUGAAAUUCUUGGAUUAACGGAAGAUGAACUUCUGCGAAAGCAUCUGCCAAGGAUGUUUUCAUCA
rnacentral:rRNA from 1 species